rnacentral:rRNA from 1 species
AAGAGUUUGAUCAUGGCUCAGAUUGAACGCUGGCGGCAUGCCUUACACAUGCAAGUCGAGCGGUAGAGGGGCAACCCUCGAGAGUGGCGAACGGGUGAGUAAUGCAUCGGAACGUGCCCAGUCGUGGGGGAUAACACUUCGAAAGAAGUGCUAAUACCGCAUACGACCUGAGGGUGAAAGCGGGGGACCGCAAGGCCUCGUGCGAUUGGAGCGGCCGAUGUCAGAUUAGGUAGUUGGUGGGGUAAAGGCCCACCAAGCCGACGAUCUGUAGCUGGUCUGAGAGGACGACCAGCCACACUGGGACUGAGACACGGCCCACACUCCUACGGGAGGCAGCAGUGAGGAAUUUUCCGCAAUGGACGAAGGUCUGACGGAGCAAUCUCGCGUGGAGGAUGACACCUUUCGAGGCGUAAACUCCUUUUAUGAGGGAAGAAAUUUUGACGGUACCUCAUGAAUAAGGGACGGCUAACUACGUGCCAGCAGCCGCGGUAAUACGUAGGUCCCAAGCAUUAUCCGGAAUUACUGGGCGUAAAGCGAUCAAAGGCGGUUUAUUAAGUCUGGUGUUAAAGCCCUCGGCUCAACCGAGGAAUCGUACUGGAAACUGAUAAACUAGAAGAAUGCAGAGGUGACUAGAAUUUCUAUUGUAGGGGUUAAAUCCGUAGAUAAUAGAAGGAAUACCAAAAGCGAAGGCAGGUCACUGGGCAUUUCUUGACGCUGCUUGAUCGAAAGCGUGGGGAGCAAAACGGAUUAGAUACCCGUGUAGUCCACGCCCUAAACGAUGGAUACUCGGUGUGGGAGGGUUUCAAUCCCCUUCCGUGCCUAAGCUAACGCGUUAAGUAUCCCGCCUGGGGAGUACGGCCGCAAGGUUAAAACUCAAAGGAAUAGACGGGGAUCCACACAAGCGGUGGAGCAUCUGGUUUAAUUCGACAAUAAGCGGGGAACCUUACCGGGGCUUGACAUCCUCAGAAUUUCUUGGAAACAGGGAAGUGCCUUUAUGGAACUGAGUGACAGGUGCUGCAUGGUUGUCGUCAGCUCGUGCCUUGAGGUGUUCGGUUAAGUCCGUUAACGAGCGCAACCCUCGUCGUAUGUUGUUUUUUUCAUGCGAGACUGCCAGUUUUAAGCUGGAGGAAGGUGAGGAUGACGUCAAAUCAGCAUGGCCCUUAUGUCCCGGGCGACACAGGUGCUACAAUGGCCGGUACAAUGCGUAGCCAAGCCGUAAGGUGGAGCCAAUCGCAUCAAAGCCGGUCUCAGUUCGGAUUGUGGUCUGCAACUCGACCAUAUGAAGUUGGAAUCGCUAGUAAUCGCAAAUCAGCCAUGUUGCGGUGAAUAUGUUCCUGGAUCUUGUACUCACCGCCCGUCAAAUCAUGAAAGGUGGGGGUGCCCUAAGUCGCGUUAUCUCUUCGGGGAGCGUGCCCAAGGUAAAACCACUGAUUGGGAUUAAGUCGUAACAAGGUAGCCGUA